UACGUAGGGGCAAGCGUUGUCCGGAAUCAUUGGGCGUAAAGAGCGUGUAGGCGGCUUGGCAAGUCUCGCGUGAAAUCCUGCGGCUCAACCGCAGGCGGUCGCGGGAAACUGCCUCGCUAGAGUCCGGAAGAGGAGAGUGGAAUUCCUGGUGUAGCGGUGGAAUGCGCAGAUAUCAGGAAGAACACCCGUGGCGAAGGCGGCUCUCUGG
rnacentral:rRNA from 1 species